rnacentral:rRNA from 1 species
ACGCUCGACACCUACGGGGGCAGCAGUAGGGAAUCUUCGGCAAUGGACGCAAGUCUGACCGAGCAACGCCGCGUGAGUGAAGAAGGUUUUCGGAUCGUAAAACUCUGUUGUUAGAGAAGAACAAGGAUGAGAGUGGAAAGUUCAUCCCUUGACGGUAUCUAACCAGAAAGCCACGGCUAACUACGUGCCAGUAGCCGCGGUAAUCUGAGCGGGCGUGGCGAAGGCG